GACAGAGGUCCCAAGCGUUAGGCGGAAUCACUGGGCUUAAAGCGUGUGUAGGCGGACUUCUAAGUACCUUGUGAAAUCCCACGGCUCAACCGUGGAACUGCUUGGUAUACUGGUUGUCUUGGGCCAUCUAGGGGCUAGCGGAACAAACGGUGGAGCGGUGAAAUGCGUAGAUAUCGUUUGGAACGCCAAUGGUGAAAACAGCUAGCUGGGGAUGUGCCGACGCUGAGACACGAAAGCCAGGGGAGGCGAAACGGGG
rnacentral:rRNA from 1 species